rnacentral:rRNA from 1 species
GACGAACGCUGGCGGCGUGCCUAAUACAUGCAAGUCGAGCGGACCAAAGGGAGCUUGCUCCUGGAGGUCAGCGGCGAACGGGUGAGUAACACGUGGGCAACCUGCCUGUAAGACUGGGAUAACAUCGAGAAAUCGGUGCUAAUACCGGAUAAUAAAAAGAACUGCAUGGUCUUUUUUGAAAGAUGGUUUCGGCUAUCACUUACAGAUGGGCCCGCGGCGCAUUAGCUAGUUGGUGAGGUAACGGCUCACCAAGGCAACGAUGCGUAGCCGACCUGAGAGGUGAUCGGCACACUGGGACUGAGACACGGCCCAGACUCCUACGGGAGGCAGCAGUAGGGAAUCUUCCGCAAUGGACGAAAGUCUGACGGAGCAACGCCGCGUGAGUGAUGAA